rnacentral:sRNA from 1 species
ACUGAGCUAAAUCCCCAACCCCUCAGUGUGUUUUCUUAUAUAAACCAAGAGCAUCUGCUCAGGGGUGGUCUCACCCGUAACUGCUAGGCCUUCCACAUCAAUCUCGAAUCAGGAAAAUACACAUACAGUCUGGCAACCCGCAACGGAUGUCUCUCUCUCUCCCCAGGUAUCUCCAGCCGUGGCAAGUUAAAAAAACUCCCCAGCAUAGUCUGGAAACGAGGCGAAUUUCUCCGUGCUUACUCCUACGUCAGUGAUUUUGGUCUGGUUUAGUUAUUGCUACUCUAUAUGGCAAAUGCCUGAAUGACUGUUAGCGCCUGACAGGCUCUGAAUGCUUGAUGAGUCAACCGCAGUGUGUAACUGCCAACGAAGAAGUCAGGUUCUGGGGCGAGCCCUUCGAUAAGGGUUGUGGGGCGGGGCCUGGAACCAGAGUCCUGGGUGUCCAUAAACAACCUUGGGCCCUCAAGAGAAAGACAGAAAAAUUUGCCCAGCAAACCCCAGCCCAGGUGGAACCCUCUUUGUAACUUAACAGCAUGAAGGCAAAACACUGUUCACAAUAACGUAGCAGUAAAGAUGGGAUCUAAACCAAAUGGACGCUGGGAUUGUAUGGCCAUUGCCAUGACAACAGAUGCCCUGGUUCCUGUCACCUAUGCAUGAUGUCACCUCUGGGUUGAGGAGAAAGCUGGAUCCUAAUACCAACAACUGUUGUUUGGGGGUUGCCUGGAUACACAUAAAACGUUGCUGAAAGUAUCAACCCAAGGACAAGUCGUUGAUCCAUCAAGUCCAUGAUGGUGGCACCACAGCACACAGGAGUGGAGUUUCCUCUUUCAGUUCCCUUUAGCCCACAAUCAUCCUCCAGAUUCCAUUGACUUCUGCAGCGGCCACACAG